rnacentral:rRNA from 1 species
UGGGGAAUUUUGGACAAUGGGGGCAACCCUGAUCCAGCCAUUCCGCGUGAGUGAAGAAGGCCUUCGGGUUGUAAAGCUCUUUCAGCUGGAACGAAACGGUGCGCUCUAACAUAGCGCGCUACUGACGGUACCAGCAGAAGAAGCACCGGCUAACUACGUGCCAGCAGCCGCGGUAAUACGUAGGGUGCGAGCGUUAAUCGGAAUUACUGGGCGUAAAGCGUGCGCAGGCAGAUUGUUAAGCAAGACGUGAAAUCCCCGGGCUUAACCUGGGAAUGGCGUUUUGAACUGGCAGUCUAGAGUGCGUCAGAGGGCGGUGGAAUUCCGCGUGUAGCAGUGAAAUGCGUAGAGAUGUGGAGGAACACCGAUGGCGAAGGCAGCCCCCUGGGAUGACACUGACGCUCAUGUACGGAAGCGUGGGUAGCAAACA